UACGUAGGGUGCAAGCGUUAAUCGGAAUUACUGGGCGUAAAGCGUGCGCAGGCGGUUAUGUAAGACAGAUGUGAAAUGCCCGGGCUUUAACCUGGGAACUGCAUUUGUGACUGCAUGGCUAGAGUUUGGCAGAGGGGGGUAGAAUUCCACGUGAUAGCAGUGAAAUGCGUAGAUAUGUGGAGGAACACCGAUGGCGAAGGCAGCCCCCUGGGUCAAGACU
rnacentral:rRNA from 1 species